rnacentral:rRNA from 1 species
UCAUAAAACCGGUCGUAGUCCGGAUUGGAGUCUGCAACUCGACUCCAUGAAGUCGGAAUCGCUAGUAAUCGUGGAUCAGAAUGCCACGGUGAAUACGUUCCCGGGCCUUGUACACACCGCCCGUCACACCAUGGGAGUUGGUUCUACCCGACGACGCUGCGCUAACCUUCGGGGGGCAGGCGGCCACGGUAGGAUCAGCGACUGGGGUGAAGUCGUAACAAGGUAGCCCUAGGGGAACCUGGGGCUGGAUCACCUCCUU